GAUGAACGCUGGCGGCGUGCCUAAUACAUGCAAGUCGAGCGAACAGAUGAGGAGCUUGCUCCUCUGACGUUAGCGGCGGACGGGUGAGUAACACGUGGAUAACCUACCUAUAAGACUGGGAUAACUUCGGGAAACCGGAGCUAAUACCGGAUAAUAUAUUGAACCGCAUGGUUCAAUAGUGAAAGACGGUUUUGCUGUCACUUAUAGAUGGAUCCGCGCCGCAUUAGCUAGUUGGUAAGGUAACGGCUUACCAAGGCAACGAUGCGUAGCCGACCUGAGAGGGUGAACGGCCACACUGGGACUGAGACAAGGUCCAGAAUCCUAAGGGAGGCAGCAGUAGGGAAUCUUCCGCAAUGGGCGAAAGCCUGACGGAGCAACGCCGCGUGAGUGAUGAAGGUCUUCGGAUCGUAAAACUCUGUUAUUAGGGAAGAACAAAUGUGUAAGUAACUAUGCACGUCUUGACGGUACCUAAUCAGAAAGCCACGGCUAACUACGUG
rnacentral:rRNA from 1 species